GUGUCAGCAGCCGCGGUAAUACGUAGGUGGCAAGCGUUGUCCGGAUUUAUUGGGUUUAAAGGGUGCGUAGGCGGUCUUAUAAGUCAGUGCUGAAAUAUCCCGGCUUAACCGGGAGGGUGGCAUUGAUACUGUAGGACUUGAGUAAAGUUGAGGUAGGCGGAAUUGACGGUGUAGCGGUGAAAUGCUUAGAUAUCGUCAAGAACACCGAUAGUGAAGACAGCUUACUAAACUUUAACUGACGCUGAGGCACGAAAGUGUGGGGAUCAAACAGGAUUAGAUACCCCUGUAGUCC
rnacentral:rRNA from 1 species